GACGAACGCUGGCGGCGUGCUUAACACAUGCAAGUCGAACGGAAAGGCCCUGCUUUUGUGGGGUGCUCGAGUGGCGAACGGGUGAGUAACACGUGAGUAACCUGCCCUUGACUUUGGGAUAACUUCAGGAAACUGGGGCUAAUACCGGAUAGGAGCUCCUGCUGCAUGGUGGGGGUUGGAAAGUUUCGGCGGUUGGGGAUGGACUCGCGGCUUAUCAGCUUGUUGGUGGGGUAGUGGCUUACCAAGGCUUUGACGGGUAGCCGGCCUGAGAGGGUGACCGGCCACAUUGGGACUGAGAUACGGCCCAGACUCCUACGGGAGGCAGCAGUGGGGAAUAUUACACAAUGGGCGGAAGCCUGAUACAGCAACGCCGCGUGCGGGAUGACGGCCUUCGGGUUGUAAACCGCUUUCGCCUGUGACGAAGCGUGAGUGACGGUAAUGGGUAAAGAAGCACCGGCUAACUACGUG
rnacentral:rRNA from 1 species